rnacentral:rRNA from 1 species
AUUGAACGCUGGCGGCAUGCCUUACACAUGCAAGUCGAACGGUAACGGGCCUUCGGGUGCCGACGAGUGGCGAACGGGUGAGUAAUACAUCGGAACGUGCCCGAUCGUGGGGGAUAACGAGGCGAAAGCUUUGCUAAUACCGCAUACGAUCUACGGAUGAAAGCAGGGGACCGCAAGGCCUUGCGCGGACGGAGCGGCCGAUGGCAGAUUAGGUAGUUGGUGGGAUAAAAGCUUACCAAGCCGACGAUCUGUAGCUGGUCUGAGAGGAUGAUCAGCCACACUGGGACUGAGACACGGCCCAGACUCCUACGGGAGGCAGCAGUGGGGAAUUUUGGACAAUGGGCGAAAGCCUGAUCCAGCCAUGCCGCGUGAAGGAUGAAGGCCUUCGGGUUGUAAACUGCUUUUGUACGGAACGAAAAGCCUUCUUUUAAUACAGGAGGGUCAUGACGGUACCGUAAGAAUAAGCACCGGCUAACUACGUG